GGUUGGUCCAAGUACAGUGGUGUUUCCAACUAAUUGAUCACAACCUGUUACAGAUUCCUUUGUUCCUUUUCCACUCCCACUGCUCCACUUGACCAGCCUUAA
ensembl:misc_RNA Y_RNA Y RNA